rnacentral:rRNA from 1 species
UACGGGGGGGGCAAGCGUUGUUCGGAAUUAUUGGGCGUAAAGAGCUCGUAGGCGGCCAACUAAGUCAGACGUGAAAUCCCUCGGCUUAACCGGGGAACUGCAUCUGAUACUGGAUGGCUUGAGUUCGGGAGAGGGAUGCGGAAUUCCAGGUGUAGCGGUGAAAUGCGUAGAUAUCUGGAGGAACACCGGUGGCGAAGGCGGCAUCCUGGACCGACACUGACGCUGAGGAGCGAAAGCCAGGGGAGCAAACAGG